rnacentral:rRNA from 1 species
GACGAACGCUGGCGGCGUGCCUAAUACAUGCAAGUCGAACGCUUCUUUCCUCCCGAGUGCUUGCACUCAAUUGGAAAGAGGAGUGGCGGACGGGUGAGUAACACGUGGGUAACCUACCCAUCAGAGGGGGAUAACACUUGGAAACAGGUGCUAAUACCGCAUAACAGUUUAUGCCGCAUGGCAUAAGAGUGAAAGGCGCUUUCGGGUGUCGCUGAUGGAUGGACCCGCGGUGCAUUAGCUAGUUGGUGAGGUAACGGCUCACCAAGGCCACGAUGCAUAGCCGACCUGAGAGGGUGAUCGGCCACACUGAGACUGAGACACGGCCCAGACUCCUACGGGAGGCAGCAGUAGGGAAUCUUCGGCAAUGGACGAAAGUCUGACCGAGCAACGCCGCGUGAGUGAAGAAGGUUUUCGGAUCGUAAAACUCUGUUGUUAGAGAAGAACAAGGACGUUAGUAACUGAACGUCCCCUGACGGUAUCUAACCAGAAAGCCACGGCUAACUACGU